rnacentral:rRNA from 1 species
CCUACGGGAGGCAGCAGUAGGGAAUCUUUCACAAUGGGCGAAAGCCUGAUGGAGCAACGCCGCGUGCAGGAUGAAGGCCUUCGGGUUGUAAACUGCUUUUAUAAGCGAGAAAUAUGAUGGUAACUUAUGAAUAAGGAUCGACUAACUACGUGCCAGCAGCCGCGGUCAUACGUAGGAUCCGAGCAUUAUCCGGAGUGACUGGGUGUAAAGAGUUGCGUAGGUGGCAUAAUAAGUAGCUAGUGAAAUCUGGUGGCUCAACCAUUCAGACUAUUAGCUAAACUGUUAAGCUCGAGACCGUUAGGGGUAACUGGAAUUUCUGGUGUAGGAGUGAAAUCCGUAGAUAUUAGAAGGAACACCAAUAGCGUAGGCAGGUUGCUGGGACGGUUCUGACACUAAGGCACGAAAGCGUAGGGAGCAAACGGGAUUAGAUACCCCGGUAGUC